GAGGGAGCAAAAUGUUGGCCGUGGUACUGUUCUGCAGUAAUCAUAGAACCGCUCAGCGCUGUGACAGCAACAGCCCGCCGGGGAGCCAGGAGGACAGCUGAGAGCAGCAGUGACGCCCCCUACUACAUAAUUUAUCACACUGCGAUGUGCGAUCUGUGAAGAUAGGAGCCGACUUCCUGGCCACUCCUCUUCCACCCACUGUGCACAUGACUAGAGAGGAGGCUGUAAGCACGCUUCUGAGCUCCCAAACAGCAGAAAAGAUGUCCUAUGAGAGCCGCGAUUUUCUAUUAGGCUUUAUCAGCCUGUACCGUGGGAAGGAGUGUCUCUGGCUGACGUCCUCACCGGACUACAGCAACUAUCAGAAGAGGGAGGCUGCUUACAACUGCCUGGAGGAGUACUCCAAGCCCACCUUCUCUGGGGCCUCAGUGACCUGGGUCCGGAAGUAAAUUGCGAAUAUAAAGACAGUGUUCGUAAAAGAGAACCGCAAGGUGGAGGAGUCGAAAAGGUCAGGGGCCGGUGCAGACAAGGUCUAUGAGCCGCAGCUGUGGUAUUACAAUGAACUAAACUUCCUCCUGGAGAAACGGUCAGUUAAGGAGUCCCUAGUGGUGAUGGUAGAGCCCGAGGAGGGAAGUCUGGAUGUGGAGGUAGCCGAAGGGGCGGCUGAUGAAUGGAGUUGGUGGUAAGCCUAUCAUAGAAGCAUGUAUUUUUCAAGGAUCCACCAUCUGAGCAACAACCAUUUUUCCCAACAUCCAGGAAAAUAAAUUCAUAGUCUGCAUUGACCACCGCCAUGAGAACAAUGCUAAAGUAGCCUUUAUAAUUGAAAUAGUCUGACAUGCUGUUGGUGGGUUUGGUGAUGCGCACAUGUUUCCUGUCUAUCGCACCACCACAGUUUGGGUAAUUCCAGCGUCUGUUAAAGUCCUUGGCAAUAGUUUUCCAUUC